rnacentral:rRNA from 1 species
UACGUAGGGUGCAAGCGUUAAUCGGAAUUACUGGGCGUAAAGCGUACGCAGGCGGCUGUGUAAGACAGGUGUGAAAUCCCCGGGCCUAACCUGGGAACUGCAUUUGUGACUGCAUAGCUAGAGUCUGUCAGAGGGGGGUGGAAUUCCACGUGUAGCAGUGAAAUGCGUAGAGAUGUGGAGGAACACCGAUGGCGAAGGCAGCCCCCUGGGAUAAGACUGACGCUCAUGUACGAAAGCGUGGGGAGCAAACAGG